CGACUAACACCCUGUAAACAUCAGAGGAAAAACAUUUAUUCUCUUCUCUCUUUUUCAUCGAUUAAGGGUUCUGAGGCGAAAAUGGUUGACAUUCAGAAACGAUUGAGACGAUGAUGCUAUACCAGAUUAAACCCCAAAAGAGAUUGAAUCGAAAAAACAUCGAGUUGCGGAAUUCGACUGCUUCAAAAGUGCACAGAAUCAACGGCAACCUUUCGUUUGUCAAGUUAAACGCGCGACAUACCCCUUAAAAGAUCAGUUUGUGAAUUUUUAUGUUUUGUUUCCUCAAGGAGGAAGAAAGUGGCGCCGCAACAUCUAUUAUGGAAGGAGUAUUAUCUAUAUUUGUUCUCUCAUUUUAGGUAUGACAGAUUGCAACUGAGGCUAACAUGAAAGUGCAGGGUUGUAGAUAUAGGUUGUAACUCUUUGUGUGUUUAUUACUUGGGAAAUGCAGUUCCAACAUGUGGUUGUGCUUGAAAAAGUGAUCGGAUUAAAAGUAGCAAGAAGAUGAAACUAUUCUUCAUGUUUGGUGCAGGUACAUAGCGCGUGGCGCUCCGCUGUGCAGAGAAUCAAAAUUCAAGCUAGAAACUACUCCAGAACGGGCGAUAGGAACUUAAUUGCAAAAUCAAUCAGGGUUGAUAUUGAAAGUUAGGGUUGAUUAGUUAGUGGUUGUGCUUUUGUUCUUUGUAUUUUACAGAUGGUUCAAUUUCAAUCAGUAAUUACGUAAACCCUAAUUUUUGUUCAACUUUCACAAAUUUCUUCCAUUUUUAUAGCUAAUAUACCUGAAUGCUUGAUUUGAAGUGGUGGGUUGUGAUUAAUUAGCGGUUUAAGAUAUAAAAAUUACAACUUUUUCUGAUCAAUACCUAGGUUUGGUUUUCUUAGGUCUGGGGAUUUCAAUUGGAUUAAUAAGCAAGUAAACAAGGAAACCUUUUCUUUCUGUGGUUUUGUUUCUCUGAAUCAAUAAACUCUAACCCUUUUGUUUAAUUUUGCAGGUACGAUUUUUCUUUGCUCUUGAUAAACAAAGAAAUGCCAUAUAUGUUGGACUGGAUUGAGAAGCAUUACAAGUCCAUGGGUUGCAUAGUUGUUCUUCAAGCAGAUUGGGUUGGGUUUGCUGGAAUCUCAAAACCAUCGACGUUUUAAAUUUUGCUUGGUGAAUCAGAAAAAGCUUUUCAAAUACAAUUGAACUUGAGUUUUUAAGGCAUCACUGGUGGAAUUGGAUUAAUCGCUGAUCUAGGGAGUAUUUUCUUUGUUAAGGCUGAACUCCUAAAAUAUGAUGGUAAUUCUAUAUUCGUAAAGAAUGUUGGCUGCUUCUACUGGAGCUUAUACUGAGUUCAUUUACACAACCUGGAUGCUAUGGAUUAAUGAAGAAUCAACUCAGCAGCAAGUGAAGCAGCUUGCAAUAAGCAUAUCCAAUGCUCUAAGAAAAAGAUUGAGCUUGGAUUUAAAAUCAGAACGGUCCUAAUGGUUCAUGCUACCUACUAUGGAAUCGGAAACGAUAAUUUGGGGAAAAAGGAUGGAGCUGAUGCUGAAGAUAAUGAUAUUGGAAUAGAAAGCACCUCUGUAGUUUAUAGGAUCGGUGGUAGUGGCUACAAUGAGGUAGAAUCAACCGCAGCUGAAGUUAAUGUGAUUGGUGUUAAAUAGAGAACUAUAAUUCAUGUAUGAAAUGUUACCUGUAAACUAGCUUGGCUGGAAACCAUUUUGAGUUCACCUUACUAUUCUUUUCAUUUGUUUUUUAGAUGUUACUGUAGUUGAGUGCUUCGAGUUCUUAAACCAUUUUGUUUGUAGUUUGUGCUUCUUCAAUGCAUGGUAUUAACAAGAGUGGGUGAAUAAUUUUGUGAUUUGUUGA